GGGUAUCUAUAGGUAUCUCUAGGUGUCUAUGGGGUAUCUAUAGGUGCCUCUAGGGUGCCUAUAGGUAUCUAUAGGUGCCUCUAGGGCAUCUAUAGUGUGCCUACAGGUAUCUAU